CCUACGGGUGGCAGCAGUGAGGAAUAUUGGUCAAUGGUCGGGAGCCUGAACCAGCCAAGUCGCGUGAGGGAUGAAGGUACAGAGGAUCGUAAACCUCUUUUGUCAGGGAACAAAGGCGGGGACGUGUCCCCGGAUGGGUGUACCUGAUGAAAAAGCCUCGGCUAAAUCCGUGCCAGCAGCCCCGGUAAUACGGAGGAUGCGAGCGUUAUCCGGAUUUAUUGGGUUUAAGGGGUUCGUAGGCGGUCUGUUAAGUCAGCGGUAAAAGAUCGGGGCUCAACCCCGGCCCGCCGUUGAAACUGGCAGUCUCGAGUUGGAGAGAAGUAUGCGGAAUGCGCGGUGUAGCGGUGAAAUGCAUAGAUAUCGCGCAGAACUCCGAUUGCGAAGGCAGCCUGCCGGCUCCACACUGACGCUGAGGCACGAAAGCGUGGGUAUCGAACAGGAUUAGAUACCCCGGUAGUC
rnacentral:rRNA from 1 species